rnacentral:lncRNA from 1 species
AUAAUUCUCUGCUGUGAAAACUACCCCCAACCACUUGUGACCACUUGGGAAGACUGAAAUCAGCUGACAUUUCAGUAAUGUGGAGAUCUUUUCCCAGUAAGCAGGAGAUUGCUCCAAUCUUUCUAUGUUGCUAAAAAAGGCUGCCGAGUGUGGCGCAUAGGAAGGCAAGAUGAACCGAGCUAGUUCCAAAGUGGGCUGGGGGAGGGGAAGUGACGCCAGAGGUGUGGGGGAGAGGAAAUCAAGCCCCCGAAUUAGGGAACAAGGCUGCAACUUUCGUCACAUGGAGCGUCUUUCUGAUUCUCUGCGUUUUCCUCUUCCAUUCACAUCAAGCACAAUAUAUGAGAAAAACAACGGCUUUCGCUCGAGUCACCUCCCUGUAAGGCCUUUUCUGCUGCAUCGUCCUCUAACAGCAUCAUCAAGCAUCAUCUCAGAGUGUUCUAACGAACAGGGAAGGGACGCUGUGGCCAAAGCUCACUGGCCCAGGGCCCGG